UACGUAGGGUGCGAGCGUUAAUCGGAAUUACUGGGCGUAAAGCGCACGUAGGCGGACUGGAAAGUCAGAGGUGAAAUCCCAGGGCUCAACCUUGGAACUGCCUUUGAAACUCUCAGUCUUGAGGUCGAGAGAGGUGAGUGGAAUUCCGAGUGUAGAGGUGAAAUUCGUAGAUAUUCGGAGGAACACCAGUGGCGAAGGCGGCUCACUGGCUCGAUACUGACGCUGAGGUGCGAAAGCGUGGGGAGCAAACAGG
rnacentral:rRNA from 1 species